CUUGAGGAACAGCGGCUGCUGGCAGGGCACAAUUAGCACAUUUUUAGCAUUCCUGCGAGGGCCGCCCGCCGAGGCAGGCUGACCGCUCUACCCUGCCCAGGCCAAGGGUCCCCAGCACUGCCUGGCCCCUGGCAAACCCCCCCGGGAGGCACCCGAGGGUGGCUCAGAGGUAGCGAGACUCCUCCAGGUGUGCCGCGGUGGGGUUCGCUCGCAGCAAGACCUCGCUCUCUCUCUCUGGGUGCACCUCGGUGGGGUUCGGGUCUAGUGAAACGCCUCAGGGUGUUAUCUCGGUGGGGUUCAGUUGUAGCAAGGCUUCUCGGGGAGCUUCUUGGUGAUGUACAAGUGUAGGGAACCCACGGAGAGCAGAAGCGGGGAGUCGGCAGCGGCAGGGUAUCGCUGUGAGCCUGGGCUGCUCCCGUGUAGGCCAGCCUAGGCCGGGCCAGGCCCUCUGCCACACCAUUUCGGGGUGUUCCACCCCAAAAUGCCUACAAGUUUGCAGCCAGCACCGCGCCGGAGACCCGGAGUGACCACGGCCACGCGUGUGCGUGAGGAGCUGCAGGGGCGCAGCGGUAGUUUGUAUUCCCACGACGAGAAGGGCGUGGAGAAGCUGCUCUGCGCCCCGCCACGCCAGGGCCCCCUCCGGGUGCACAGCGGGCCGGGCCGGCAGCUCCCGGACCCACUACCAGGCGUGGGGCGCUCGCCACGACCCCCUAGAAAAACCACCCUCCUAGCAGCCGGGCGGGCAGAUGAGCCGCUCCCCGCCGUGCCCCGAGCACGCCGCGGGGCGAUGCCCGUCCCAGGCUCUCGGCGAGGUCUCCGGCCAUCGCCAUCCUGCCCGGGCGGGGAGGAAGAGGAGGCCGGGGAGGCGGUGGCUGCCAUUGGCCGGGGAGCCGCGGCUGCAGCUGCAGGACACAAUUAAUUAUGCUAAUGGCGUGGGGAGCGGAUGUGCUCUCCCCCCCCUCUAUUCCUCUCUCUUUUUUUGGCUGGUCGGUGCGGGAAGGAGCCGCCCUGGGCUGGGAUCACAUGAUAUUGUCUUCGCGCCACUUUCGUAAACCCCUUUUUAUUCCAGGGCUUUGCUCGGGCUCAAAGGUACUGUUGGCUCCUGUGCUUCAGUCAAGAUGCUUCUGCCGUGCUUCAGCUGUGCUGAAAGGGGGAAAGGACCUUUCGAAUCGAAGAUGGUGAUGGGCCUUGAGUUGUGCAAAAGUGCUUACAGUGCAGGUAGAGGUUAGGAUCUACUGCAGUAUAAGCACUUCUGGCAUUACUGUGGCGAUUCAGUGACGAUGGCGGGGCACGGACCUAACCAGGAUUUGCUGCUUUGCUGCCUUAAAGCUGCCUCUCCCAAGUGGUCCUUGUGUUAAGGUGCAUUAAAGCUACCUCUCCCAAGUGGUCCUUGUGUUAA